rnacentral:rRNA from 1 species
ACACAUGCAAGUCGAGGGGCAGCAUGAACUUAGCUUGCUAAGUUUGAUGGCGACCGGCGCACGGGUGAGUAACACGUAUCCAACCUGCCGAUGACUCGGGGAUAGCCUUUCGAAAGAAAGAUUAAUACCCGAUGGCAUAGUUCUUCCGCAUGGUAGAACUAUUAAAGAAUUUCGGUCAUCGAUGGGGAUGCGUUCCAUUAGGUUGUUGGCGGGGUAACGGCCCACCAAGCCUUCGAUGGAUAGGGGUUCUGAGAGGAAGGUCCCCCACAUUGGAACUGAGACACGGUCCAAACUCCUACGGGAGGCAGCAGUGAGGAAUAUUGGUCAAUGGACGAGAGUCUGAACCAGCCAAGUAGCGUGAAGGAUGACUGCCCCAUGGGUUGUAAACUUCUUUUAUACGGGAAUAAAGUGAGGCACGUGUGCCUUUUUGUAUGUACCGUAUGAAUAAGGAUCGGCUAACUCCGUGCCAGCAGCCGCGGUAAUACGGAGGAUCCGAGCGUUAUCCGGAUUUAUUGGGUUUAAAGGGAGCGUAGGCGGACGCUUAAGUCAGUUGUGAAAGUUUGCGGCUCAACCGUAAAAUUGCAGUUGAUACUGGGUGUCUUGAGUACAGUAGAGGCAGGCGGAAUUCGUGGUGUAGCGGUGAAAUGCUUAGAUAUCACGAAGAACUCCGAUUGCGAAGGCAGCUUGCUGGACUGUAACUGACGCUGAUGCUCGAAAGUGUGGGUAUCAAACAGGAUUAGAUACCCUGGUAGUCCACACAGUAAACGAUGAAUACUCGCUGUUUGCGAUAUACAGUAAGUGGCCAAGCGAAAGCGUUAAGUAUUCCACCUGGGGAGUAC